rnacentral:rRNA from 1 species
CCGUGAACCUUUACUAUAGCUUGACACUGAACAUUGAGCCUUGAUGUGUAGGAUAGGUGGGAGGCUUUGAAGUGUGGACGCCAGUCUGCAUGGAGCCGACCUUGAAAUACCACCCUUUAAUGUUUGAUGUUCUAACGUUGACCCGUAAUCCGGGUUGCGGACAGUGUCUGGUGGGUAGUUUGACUGGGGCGGUCUCCUCCUAAAGAGUAACGGAGGAGCACGAAGGUUGGCUAAUCCUGGUCGGACAUCAGGAGGUUAGUGCAAUGGCAUAAGCCAGCUUGACUGCGAGCGUGACGGCGCGAGCAGGUGCGAAAGCAGGUCAUAGUGAUCCGGUGGUUCUGAAUGGAAGGGCCAUCGCUCAACGGAUAAAAGGUACUCCGGGGAUAACAGGCUGAUACCGCCCAAGAGUUCAUAUCGACGGCGGUGUUUGGCACCUCGAUGUCGGCUCAUCACAUCCUGGGGCUGAAGUAGGUCCCAAGGGUAUGGCUGUUCGCCAUUUAAAGUGGUACGCGAGCUGGGUUUAGAACGUCGUGAGACAGUUCGGUCCCUAUCUGCCGUGGGCGCUGGAGAACUGAGGGGGGCUGCUCCUAGUACGAGAGGACCGGAGUGGACGCAUCACUGGUGUUCGGGUUGUCAUGCCAAUGGCACUGCCCGGUAGCUAAAUGCGGAAGAGAUAAGUGCUGAAAGCAUCUAAGCACGAAACUUGCC